rnacentral:tRNA from 1 species
GCCGAAAUAGCUCAGUUGGGAGACCGUUAGACUGAAGAUCUAAAGGUCCCUGGUUUGAUCCUGGGUUUUGGCA